UAGGGAAUCUUCCGCAAGGGACGCAAGUUUGACGGAGCAACGCCGCGUGAGUGAAGAAGGAUUUCGGUUCGUAAAACUCUGUUGUUAGAGAAGAACAGCGCAUAGAGUAACUGUUAUGCGUGUGACGGUAUCUAACCAGAAAGCCACGGCUAACUACGUGCCAGCAGCCGCGGUAAUACGUAGGUGGCAAGCGUUGUCCGGAUUUAUUGGGCGUAAAGCGAGCGCAGGCGGUCAAUUAAGUCUGAUGUGAAAGCCCCCGGCUCAACCGGGGAGGGUCAUUGGAAACUGGUUGACUUGAGUGCAGAAGAGGAGAGUGGAAUUCCAUGUGUAGCGGUGAAAUGCGUAGAUAUAUGGAGGAACACCAGUGGAGAAGGCGACUCUCUGGUCUGUAACUGACGCUGAGGCUCGAAAGCGUGGGUAGCAAACAGG
rnacentral:rRNA from 1 species